AUUGAACGCUGGCGGCAUGCUUUACACAUGCAAGUCGAACGGUAACAGGCCUUCGGGUGCUGACGAGUGGCGAACGGGUGAGUAAUGCAUCGGAACGUACCCAGAGGUGGGGGAUAACGCAGCGAAAGCUGUGCUAAUACCGCAUGUGAUCUGAGGAUGAAAGCGGGGGACCGAGCAGCAAUGUUUGGCCUCGCGCCUUUGGAGCGGCCGAUGUCGGAUUAGCUAGUUGGUGGGGUAAAGGCCUACCAAGGCGACGAUCCGUAGCUGGUCUGAGAGGACGACCAGCGACACUGGGACUGAGACACGGACAAGACGCCUACGGGAGGCAGCAGUGGGGAAUGGUGGGCAAUGGGCGCAAGCCUGAUCCAGCAAUGCCGCGUGCGGGAAGAAGGCCUUCGGGUUGUAAACAGCUUUUGGCAGGAACGAAACGGUGUCCGCUAAUACCGGGCGCUAAUGACGGUACCUGCAGAAUAAGCACCGGCUAACUACGUG
rnacentral:rRNA from 1 species